UUGUCUCAAAGAUUAAGCCAUGCAUGUCUCAGUACAAGCCAAAUUAAGGUGAAACCGCGAAAGGCUCAUUAAAUCAGUUAUGGUUCCUUAGAUCGUACGCACAGUUACUUGGAUAACUGUGGUAAUUCUAGAGCUAAUACAUGCAGAUAGAGUUCCACCCGGAGACGGGAGGAAUGCUUUUAUUAGAACAAAACCAAUCGGCGUCGGUCGCGUUCGCGCGUCCGUCCGCCGCUCAAUUUGGUGACUCUGAAUAACUUUACGCUGAUCGCACGGUCUCGCACCGGCGACGCAUCUUUCAAAUGUCUGCCUUAUCAACUGUCGAUGGUAGGUUCUGCGCCUACCAUGGUCAUAACGGGUAACGGGGAAUCAGGGUUCGAUUCCGGAGAGGGAGCCUGAGAAACGGCUACCACAUCCAAGGAAGGCAGCAGGCGCGCAAAUUACCCACUCCCGGCACGGGGAGGUAGUGACGAAAAAUAACGAUACGGGACUCAUCCGAGGCCCCGUAAUCGGAAUGAGUACACUUUAAAUCCUUUAACGAGGAUCAAUUGGAGGGCAAGUCUGGUGCCAGCAGCCGCGGUAAUUCCAGCUCCAAUAGCGUAUAUU
rnacentral:rRNA from 1 species